GGGGGCGUUCUGGAUUCGACGCCGGUUACAAAACCUGUGGUGCAUGCCGAGAUGGUGACCAAUCUCGUUAAUCCAAAGUCGCAAAUUAUUAGUUGCCAACGACGACAACUACGCACUCGCCGCCUAAGAAACGGUAGGGAGCCAUCUGACUGGAGCCGUGCUUAUGCGUCCAGAGUCUCUAGGGACUAUCAGGUGUCAUACUCAUAAGAUCGUGAUGAAACUUGUCUGGGGUAGACUCACUAAAAACUUACCGGAAUCGUAAUUUACGUACCCUGCCAGUCGGGUUGUCAAUUAUUAAAUUAAUGACUGAACUAAGCAUGUAGAGCCUUCGGUAGAGGACUGACGGACGCGGGUUCAAUUCCCGCCGCCUCCACCA
rnacentral:tmRNA from 1 species